ACCACGACCACAGCAAAUCCAAUCCAGAACGCGCCCAAACCUGCUCAGAUCAGAUCCCUCCCCAGAUUGGAUCCAGAGACCCAACCCGGAUCGCGCCACCGACCACCCCAGAUUGGACACCACUGAAGGAGGAUGAAACUGCCGCCGAUCCGAACCACGCCACGCCGCCAUGCCCACAACGCCACCCAGCAGCCUCCACACUUUCGCAACCAAAACCACUUCGCCGACCAAGCCAGCGAGGAUCAAGCCAAAACCCGACUGCCGCCUGGAUCUCCCUCCACCCCAAACUCCCCGAGCCGAACGAGAAACGUCGGCCGAAUGCGCAACUCACUCUAAUCCCAGACGGGAUCGACAAAAGCCCGUCCGACGACGGCGAAAAGGCUCGCCGCCGGACAGGGUAGGAGGCUCUCACUUGUCGCUCGCUCUUAAAGUUCAUUCUUUCUUCUUUCUCAUUCUUCAAAUCCCAAUUCUUCUCUGGUUUCUCAGAGUCGGUCAUUCCUUCAACUGAGCUCAAUCAAACGCCAUGGAUUCGCAGACCCAGAACACGUCGCUGCAGUGGCUUCAGAAUGUGGAGAAGAGAAUCGUGAAGGUUUUGGAGCUGGCCGCAAGUGUGAUGGACGAGCUUGCAAACCCUACUGGUCCCAGAAGGGAGUCCAUCAACAACCAUGUCCGCUAGUUGAUGCAAUAUAAUUCAUCAAAGAUAUUCAAAUGGCAUUGCGGGAUGAAAUCAAAAGUGCGUGUGAUUACCGUCCAUUUGAGAAGUGUGAUUACAGUUCAAGAAUAGCUAACGAGAUCUGUUGCAAGAAACUGGAAUAUGUCAUGUUAAAGAACUCGAUCGAUGCAAAAACAACUGUUAGAACACUAGGCACUAAUUGUACAAUGUAUUUAAUAUAACUAAAUGGAAUACAUUCUAUUAUCAGAACUUGAUGCAAUACAUUUAAAAUAACUAACGUGAGGAAUUAUUUGA